rfam:Oryza sativa (indica cultivar-group) chromosome 4, whole genome shotgun sequence.
AAAAAGAGACAAACAUUGGUUUCCGUGUCCAACGUUUGACCGUCUGUCUUAUUUAAAAAAAUUAUGAAAAAAAAUUAAAAGACAAGUUACGCAUAAAAUAUUAAUCAUGUUUUAUCAUCUAACAACAAUGAAAAUACGAAUUAUAAAAAAAUUUCAUAUAAAACGGGCAGUUAAAGUUGGACACGAAAACUCAGGGUUUGCCUUUUU